rnacentral:rRNA from 1 species
AGCGAACGCUAGCGGAUGGCUUAACACAUGCAAGUCGAGCGGGCAGCUUCGGCUGUCUAGCGGCGAACGGGUGCGUAACACGUGGGUAAUCUGCCUUCUGGUGGGGGAUAACCCCGACGAAAGUCGGGCUAAUACCGCAUAUGGCCUACGGGUCAAAGCAGCAAUGCGCCAGUUGAUGAGCCCGCGGCCCAUUAUUUAAUCCUAGUUGGCGGGGUAACGGCCCACCAAGGGUACGAUGGGUAGCUGGUCUGAGAGGACGAUCAGCCACACUGGGACUGAGACACGGCCCAGACUCCUACGGGAGGCAGCAGUGGGGAAUAUUGCGCAAUGGGCGAAAGCCUGACGCAGCCAAUCCGCGUGGGUGAUGAAGGCC